CAUGCAAGUCGAACGGCAGCACGGACUUCGGUCUGGUGGCGAGUGGCGAACGGGUGAGUAAUAUAUCGGAACGUGCCCAGUCGUGGGGGAUAACGUAGUGAAAAUUACGCUAAUACCGCAUACAAUCUAUGGAUGAAAGCGGGGGACUCGCAAGAGCCUCGCGCGAUUGGAGCGGUCGAUAUCAGAUUAGGUAGUUGGUGAGGUAAAGGCUCACCAAGCCCGCGAUCUGUAGCUGGUCUGAGAGGACGACCAGCCACACUGGAACUGAGACACGGUCCAGACUCCUACGGGAGGCAGCAGUGGGGAAUUUUGGACAAUGGACGCAAGUCUGAUCCAGCCAUUCCGCGUGCAGGAUGAAGGCCCUCGGGUUGUAAACUGCUUUUGUACGGAACGAAAAGGUCUCUCCUAAUACGAGGGGCUCAUGACGGUACCGUAAGAAUAAGCACCGGCUAACUACGUGCCAGCAGCCGCGGUAAUACGUAGGGUGCAAGCGUUAAUCGGAAUUACUGGGCGUAAAGCGUGCGCAGGCGGUUAUAUAAGACAGAUGUGAAAUCCCCGGGCUCAACCUGGGAACUGCAUUUGUGACUGUAUAGCUAGAGUACGGUAGAGGGGGAUGGAAUUCCGCGUGUAGCAGUGAAAUGCGUAGAUAUGCGGAGGAACACCGAUGGCGAAGGCAAUCCCCUGGACCUGUACUGACGCUCAUGCACGAAAGCGUGGGGAGCAAACAGGAUUAGAUACCCUGGUAGUCCACGCCCUAAACGAUGUCAACUGGUUGUUGGGUCUUAACUGACUCAGUAACGAAGCUAACGCGUGAAGUUGACCGCCUGGGGAGUAC
rnacentral:rRNA from 1 species